rnacentral:rRNA from 1 species
AGAGUUUGAUCCUGGCUCAGGGUGAACGCUGGCGGCGUGCUUGACACAUGCAAGUCGAACGGUAUGUGGUAACACAUAGAGUGGCGAACGGGUGAGUAACACGUGGGAACGUACCAUCUGCAGGGGGAUAACUGACCGAAAGGACAGCUAAUACCGCAUAAGUCCGGAAGGAGAAAGGUGCAAUAGCAUCGGCAGAAGAGCGGCCCGCGGUCCAUCAGCUAGUUGGUGAGGUAAGGGCUUACCAAGGCGACGACGGAUAGCCGGCGUGAGAGCGUGGCCGGCCACAAGGACACUGAGAUACGGGUCCUACUCCUACGGGAGGCAGCAGUGCGGAAUUUUAGAUAAUGGAGGGAACUCUGAUCUAGCGACGCCGCGUGCAGGAAGAAGGUCUUCGGAUUGUAAACUGCUGUGGUAAGGGAAAAAUGCUAUGUAGAGUGGAAAGCUACAUAGAGGGAUGGUACCUUACUAGAAAGCCCCGGCUAACUACGUGCCAGCAGCCGCGGUAAUACGUAGGGGGCGAGCGUUACCCGGAAUCACUGGGCGUAAAGGGAGCGUAGGUGGCCUAACAUGUCAACUGUGAAAACCCGGAGCUCAACUCCGGACUUGCAGUUGAAACUGGUAGGCUUGAGGACGGUAGAGGAAGACGGAACUGCCAGUGUAGGGGUAAAAUCCUUAGAUAUUGGCAGGAACGCCGGUGACGAAGGUGGUUUUCUGGGCCGGUUCUGACACUGAUGCUCGAAAGCCAGGGGAGCGAACGGGAUUAGAUACCCCGGUAGUCCUGGCCCUAAACGAUGAGUACUAGGUGCGGGGGGUAUAAACUCCUUCCGUGUCGCAGCUAACGCAUUAAGUACUCCGCCUGGGAAGUACGGUCGCAAGGCUGAAACUCAAAUGAAUUGCCGG